CCUACGGGAGGCAGCAGUGGGGAAUAUUGCACAAUGGGGGGAACCCUGAUGCAGCGACGCCGCGUGAGUGAUGAAGUAUUUCGGUAUGUAAAGCUCUAUCAGCAGGGAAGAAGAUUACGUUACCUGACUAAGAAUCCCCGGCUAACUUCGUGCCAGCAGCCGCGGUAAUACGUAGGGGGCAAGCGUUAUCCGGAUUUACUGGGUGUAAAGGGAGCGUAGACGGCAGGGCAAGUCUGUAGUGAAAGCCCGCGGCCCAACCGUGGGACUGCUCUGGGAACUGCAUGGCUGGAGUACAGGCGGGGGAGGCGGAAUUCCUAGUGUAGCGGUGAAAUGCGUAGAUAUUAGGAGGAACACCGAUGGCGAAGGCGGCCUGCUGGAGUGUGACUGACGUUGAGGCCCGAAGGCGUGGGGAGCAAACAGGAUUAGAUACCCGAGUAGUC
rnacentral:rRNA from 1 species